ACACUGCUAAAAAAGAUAACAAAGGCCGAAGGUCCGGCCCGAACAGGACGGAGCUCUGCCUAGGCAUUGCUAUUCUCCCUUACCGCAAGAUAAACCCUAAACCCUUGUUCUUAAUAUUCCCCGUUCUGUUUCCAAUUUUAUGAGUUUAAAUGAAGCUGCAGAAGGUUUCAUUUUUCAUUUGAAAUGCAUCAAUUUGUGAGAAAUUUCAUCUUUGUAUGGCAUCUCACAGCUUUUUAUGGAGCUUUGGUAAGAAGGUCUUCACAUUCGGACUCAUAGGCCUUACUUUUUCAGAUCGUUAUGCUAGCAUUCUUCCGAUGACUAUGUUCUAGUUGAGAAAUUUUGUCUGGGAAAUUACAAGUUUUCACAUGGAGAUGUGAUUGUUUUUCGAUCACCUCGCAAUCACAAAGAGAAACAUGUGAAGAGAAUUAUUGGUUCGCCAGGUGACUGGGUUGCAACUCACAGUACUUAUGAUGUUGUGAAGGAUCCGGAUGGACAUUGUUGGGUCGAGGGAGACAAUCCUUCUUCUAGCAUGGAGUCAAGAACUUAUGGCCCACUAAGUUCUUCAAAGCAUCAUACUUAUGAAUAAUCUCAUGAUUAGGGUUGGAUUCGACUUAAGCCAACUUGGCUCAAAUUAGUGUUUAGUUUGAUUUGAGUUGGAACUUCAAUUCUGUAAUUCGGCUUGAGUUGGGCUUGAAUCUCCCUCCGGCAACACGAUUUAUUCUAUUGGCAACUAUGCAUCCAGUUGGAAACACUGUUUAUCCAUCAAUGGUAUUAUUCAUUUGACUGGCGACUAUCGACAACAUUUUCGGCCGAUUCUAAUUCAAACAGACUAUUUAGGAUUGGAACUGAAUGCGAGGUAGUUCAUAUUAGGGUUUGGUUUGGUUCGAAUUCAACCCUACUUAUGAUUAGAUCUCAGGAUUCUUAAGCAGAGUAUUUCAAUCCAACUUACUUGUUUAGAUCCUCCUGAUUUAUUAUUUACUGCUAUUUUUAAAAGUUUAUAGUCGCUAAUUGAUUCUCUUCAGCAAUUUUUUUUUUCUACUUAAGCGAGCUGUUCUUGGCAGAUUCCUUUGGGCCUAGUUCAACGAAGGAUCACCCAUAUCGUAUGGCCUCCUCAAAGACUAGGAGCAGUGAAGAGAAAUAUUUAUGCAGACAGACUUUCUUCUUUCUAAUCAGGUUAUGGUAGUUGAUACUUUUAGUAGCGAGAAUACAUAUUUUCCUUUAUAAUGCUUUACCAUUUGAUCAAGGCAACCAUUUUUUGGAGAUCCCUUGAGUUUUUGAAAGUUUUAGACUGUUCUUUGAUUUUGUUUAUUAAGCAAGAAUAAGAAAGAAGUAAUCUUUUGGGGACAGUAUUUGUACAUUAUUUAUAUUGUUAAUGGUCAAGUUAAUCAACUCAAUAAUGGAUUUUGAGUUCAAUAUAAUUGAUUUUAAUUCCUGGG